UACGUAGGGGGCUAGCGUUGUUCGGAUUUACUGGGCGUAAAGCGCACGUAGGCGGUUUGUUAAGUCAGGGGUGAAAUCCCGGAGCUCAACUCCGGAACUGCCUUUGAUACUGGCAAUCUAGAGUCCGGAAGAGGUGAGUGGAACUCCUAGUGUAGAGGUGGAAUUCGUAGAUAUUAGGAAGAACACCAGUGGCGAAGGCGGCUCACUGGUCCGGUACUGACGCUGAGGUGCGAAAGCGUGGGGAGCAAACAGG
rnacentral:rRNA from 1 species